rnacentral:rRNA from 1 species
UUCCGUAGGUGAACCUGCGGAAGGAUCAUUACCGAGUUAGGGUCUUCAAGGCCCGACCUCCAAUCCUGUGUUUACCAAUCCAUGUUGCUUUGGCGGGCCCGCCCUGAGGGGCCGCCGGGGGUCUUGCCACCCCUGGCCAGUGCCUGCCAGUAGCCAUUUUAAAUUCUUUAUAACUAUGUCGUCUGAAUGAUAAAUUCCAAUCGUUAAAACUUUCAACAACGGAUCUCUUGGUUCUGGCAUCGAUGAAGAACGCAGCGAAAUGCGAUAAGUAAUGCGAAUUGCAGAAUUCAGUGAGUCAUCGAAUCUUUGAACGCAUAUUGCGCCCUUUGGUAUUCCGAAGGGCAUGCCUGUUCGAGCGUCAUUAUCAACCAUCAAGCCUGGCUUGUCGUUGGACUCGUGGUCGUCAUGACCGGUCCGAAAGAUAAUGGACGGCGGUGAUUAGCCCCCGAUGCAACGAGCUUUUGAUAGCACGCAUUGAAGGGUUGGUCACCCCGGCCUCACACUCCAUUUUCUCAGGUUGACCUCGGAUCAGGUAGGAAUACCCGCUGAACUUAAGCAUAUCAAUAAGCGGAGG